UGCGCAGGCGGUUAAUUGUGUCAGGUGUGAAAUCCCGGAGCUUAACUCCGGAACUGCGCCUGAAACUGAUUGACUAGAGACUCGGAGAGGUAAGUGGAAUUCCAGGUGUAGCGGUGAAAUGCGUAGAUAUCUGGAGGAACACCAAAGGCGAAGGCAGCUUACUGGACGAGAUCUGACGCUCAGGCACGAAAGCGUGGGAGCAAAAA
rnacentral:rRNA from 1 species